UUGACUGUGGAGAUAAACCUCAGUUUGACAGUAACACUGAUGUCCACACUGUGGCUUCCCUGCUGAAGCUGUAUCUCAGGGAGCUCCCCGAACCCGUCGUUCCCUUCUGCAAGUAUGAGGACUUUCUCAAUUGUGCUCAGCUCCUGGCCAAAGAUGAGGAGGAGGGGAUACAAGAAUUAGGGAAGCUAGUGACGACCCUUCCAGCUGCCAAUUACAACCUUUUGAAAUAUAUAUGCAA